rnacentral:rRNA from 1 species
CCUACGGGUGGCAGCAGUGAGGAAUAUUGGUCAAUGGGCGCUAGCCUGAACCAGCCAAGUAGCGUGAAGGAUGACUGCCCUAUGGGUUGUAAACUUCUUUUAUAUGGGAGUAAAGUGCAGUAUGUAUACUGCUUUGCAUGUACCUUAUGAAUAAGGAUCGGCUAACUCCGUGCCAGCAGCCGCGGUAAUACGGAGGAUCCGAGCGUUAUCCGGAUUUAUUGGGUUUAAAGGGAGCGUAGGCGGGUUGUUAAGUCAGUUGUGAAAUUUUGCGGCUCAACCGUAAAAUUGCAGUUGAUACUGGCAGCCUUGAGUACAGUAGAGGUAAGCGGAAUGUGUGGUGUAGCGGGGAAAUGCUUAGAUAUCACGAAGAACUCCGAUUGCGAAGGCAGCUUGCUGGACUGUAACUGACGCUGAUGCUCGAAAGUGUGGGUAUCAAACAGGAUUAGAUACCCUUGUAGUC